CCCACAAGCCCACUGCGUUGGAAACGACAAACUGAACGGACCAGACUGUGGAAGAGAAACCCGGAGUUAUGGACAAGCUUAUGGCGUCAGAAGCUGUUGGAUAUUACAAAAAAGGACCAGAAAUAUGGACCCGGUCAUCUCUGUGGGAAGAAGAAUUACCUUCAACCAUAAAUCAGCUGAGCGACUCGUUGAGAUGGACGUAAUGAGACAGGUCCAUGCAGGGAGGGAGAUGGAGGCAGUGCCAUGGAGGAGCCGUAAACAAGGUGAAAAAUAAUCAGGUGACGGUGGACUGCAGCUCUCUGAGGGCCUCCAGCAGCCGCUGUGCAACAAUGCAUCACUUUCCCCUUUUAGAAAUGACUUUUUUACCUGCAGUCAGUUCUUGUUAGCUCCGUCACACUUUAGCCCCCUUUUUUUUUGCCUCUAUUUGUUUUCAUGCCUGUCUUGAUUUAGCACCGACUCGCCUCCGUACAUGUUUGCUGUCAGCAGAUUUGAUUAUUCUUAUAAAUAAUUUCUUACAUUUUCAAUCUGUGACCUUUUGCGAGUGCAGAGUUUCAGUUUUGGUGUUUAAGAUCGCACCUUUUCAGAUGCUGUUCUAGAAAAUGCAUUCGAUUUAAAUAAGAUUGUGGGAAGGAUUUUACUAUAUUUAAACAAACCAUAUUUCUGUUGUUUAAAAAAUUAUACUGAGAUUAUUAUUAAAACCCACAGUAGCCGGAAAAUACUGAUGGAUGGAUGGAUGGAUGGAUGGAUGGAUGGAUGGAUUGUAUAUUUUAGAUUUAAGAAAAACAAUGAAACGAAUGUGCAAAUUGAAGAAAAAAGGUGCAAAUAUUGCUGGUAUUUAUUAUUGUAUUCAUUUCUAUUUACUCUUUUGUUCUUGUAAAGUUUUGUAUCUGAGGAAUUUCCAUAAAAGCAAAGAUUAUGACAUUUACAA